rnacentral:rRNA from 1 species
AGCGUAGGGGACAAUCGUUCUCCGGAUUUACUGGGCGUAAAGCGCCCGCAGGCGGUAAGGUAAGUUGGCCGUGAAAGCGCCCGGCUUAACCGGGAGAGGUCGGUCAAAACUGCCGUACUUGAGGCCGAGAGAGGAGAGCGGAAUUCCCGGUGUAGUGGUGGAAUGCGUAGAUAUCGGGAGGAACACCAGUGGCGCAGGCGGCUCUCUGGCUCGGAACUGACGCUGAGGGGCGAAAGCGUGGGGAGAGAACGGG